CCUACGGGUGGCAGCAGUGAGGAAUAUUGGUCAAUGGUCGGGAGACUGAACCAGCCAAGCCGCGUGAGGGAGGAAGGUACAGAGUAUCGUAAACCUCUUUUGUCAGGGAACAAAGGCGGGGACGUGUCCCCGGAUGAGUGUACCUGAAGAAAAAGCAUCGGCUAACUCCGUGCCGGCAGCCCGGGUAAUACGGAGGAUGCGAGCGUUAUCCGGAUUUAUUGGGUUUAAAGGGUGCGCAGGCGGUCUGUUAAGUCAGCGGGCAAAGCCCGGGGCUCAACCCCGGCCCGCCGGUGAAACUGGCAGCCUCGAGUUGGAGAGAAGUAGGCGGAAUGCGCGGUGUAGCGGUGAAAUGCAUAGAUAUCGCGCAGAACUCCGAUUGCGAAGGCAGCAUGCCGGCUCCACACUGACGCUGAGGCACGAAAGCGUGGGUAUCGAACAGGAUUAGAUACCCCGGUAGUC
rnacentral:rRNA from 1 species